rnacentral:tRNA from 1 species
AGAGAGAUAGCCGAGUGAUUCAAGGCAUAGUAUUGGAAUUGCUAUGUAAGCUUUUGUUUACCGAGAGUUUGAAUCUCUUUCCUUUCA